AAUAAUGUUGAAGAAAAGAGAGGGAAAGAAUCUAAAUAAACAACAAAAAUUUGAUGGAGAGAAAAUUCUAGCUUCUACUUUCCAGCAGGACUUCAUCUCUCCAAACCAUUCAAAGCAUAUGAAGAACAAAAGAAGGGAUAACCUUUACAUUAUCCUUCAUUUCAUUCAAGAGAGAGAGAGAGAGAGAGAGAGAGAUUCUUCAUCUUUGGUACUGAAGUAAAGAGAAGACUUUAGGACACAGUGUGGGGCCAUGUCAGAGAGGCCCAAGAACAAGGGCAUGGAGAUCACUUCUUUGGAUGGGUGAAGGGAUCAAGAAAGAGACAAUGGGAUCAGAGGAAAAUGAAAGGUGGCCAGGGGAGAGGAACCUUAACAUCUGUCCUCCCAAAAGAGCAGAAAUAUGCCUCACAAUAGCAUCAGCAUCCCCCACCACUCAUGCAUGGGGUGAGUACCAGUUGAAACUUCAACAUGGAAUGCAGUGUCUCCACCCCAAAAGUCUCACGCUUCUUCCUUCUUCCCUCAUCUUCCACAGAUAAAUAUGAAUCACGCAUAGCGACAUGAGCAGCGUCAGUCCAUCUCAGCAUCACAGAAACUGCCUUCUCCUUGGGAGCGUACAUCUCAUCAGACCUUUCCUGGCAUGACCAACCUUCUCCUGUUACUCCUUGGCUUGUUUGCAGCACAAGAGCAAGAGAGAAACCAUGCACUGAUAGUUGAUUCUUCUUCCUCUUCUUCCUGAUGGAUUUUAAAGUGAAGGACCAUUCGAGCAGGACAGUACCUCAUGCAGUUGUUCCUAAGAGAUGCCAGACACAAGCUGGAGAGAAAGCAGAAAGAUUAGGAUAGCUUUUGAUGUUAAACAUGUAAAAGAUAUCUUGGUUUCCAACAUGUCUUUGAGAGAACAUAGCGCUCGCUGUUGUUAUUUUCUGUGAACAAGGGUUCCUGGAGAUACCAUUAUGACUUUCUGCUGGAUCGAGAUCAUAGUUCCAGAGUUUCCACUGCAAAGUCUGAUCCAGUUCUCUAAAAGGAGUUGAUGGCAUGUUUGUUGCCGUCUCAGGAAGCCAAACAUCUGAGUCUGCCACCGGGCUUACUGGUUUGAGCAUCAGCAUCAGCAAAAACCAACUUGGCAGAGUCCAUCAACCCAGACAGAUUCAACAGUUUGUGAUCUGAAAGCUAUGCCGAUGAAAGCGUCUAAGAAAUCGUAGAUCAGUUGUUUGAUAGGCCGUAUAUCGAAGCGUCGAGCUCUCAGACAAGGAACUCGAAAGCAACAAACAGAUUGAUAUGAAAGCUGUCGGAGAUGGUUCGAUCGAAGGCAGGAGGAGGAGGAACAGAAUAGUGAGCGGUGCGAGACCGCUGCAACAGACAAACUAUGGAGCCACUUCUUCGAACUAUUUCAGCAUGGAGUCAUUCCUCAUCCUUAUCUGCCUCACCAUGUCGCUGUUGAUACUUCCUCUCGUCCUGCCUCCGCUGCCCCCUCCACCUUCCAUGCUAUUGUUGCUUCCCGUAGCCAUACUAGUCUUACUCAUGAUCCUUGCUUUUAUGCCCUCGGACAUCAGCAACAUGGCCUCCCCUUAUCUGUAGAUAAGCAAGCUGUGAAUUAGCACAAGAUAUAUAAGAUAAUGAAGCCUUUUGUGUGGUUAGCUUCAACACUAGGCUACAUUGGAUAUUGCA